rnacentral:rRNA from 1 species
CCUACGGGAGGCAGCAGUGGGGGAUAUUGCACAAUGGGGGAAACCCUGAUGCAGCGACGCCGCGUGGGUGAAGAAGUAUUUCGGUAUGUAAAGCCCUAUCAGCAGGGAAGAAAGAAGACGGUACCUGACUAAGAAGCCCCGGCUAACUACGUGCCAGCAGCCGCGGUAAUACGUAGGGGGCGAGCGUUAUCCGGAUUCACUGGGUGUAAAGGGAGCGUAGACGGCCGUGCAAGCCAGGAGUGAAAGCCCGGGGCCCAACCCCGGGACUGCUCUUGGAACUGUGCGGCUGGAGUGCGGGAGGGGCAGGCGGAAUGCCUGGUGUAGCGGUGAGAUGCGUAGAUAUCAGGAGGAACACCGGCGGCGAGGGCGGCCUGCUGGACCGCGACUGACGUUGAGGCUCGAAAGCGUGGGGAGCGAACAGGAUUAGAUACCCUUGUAGUC